rnacentral:lncRNA from 1 species
CUGUCCUCUAUGUACCUGCCCUGUCCUCUAUGUACCUGCCCUGUCCUCUAUGUACCUGCCCUGUCCUCUAUGUACCUGCCCUGUCCUCUAUAUACCUGCCCUGUCCUCUAUAUACCUGCCCUGUCCUCUAUGUACCUGCGUCACUGUUCAUUUUGAACUUUGAGCCAAUUUAUCUCAAGUAAGGAUCUCACAGUAAGGAUCAGUCCAAAUGGGUUCUAACGGUAAGGAUCAGUCCAAAUGGGUUCUAACGGUAAGGAUCAGUCAGAAUGGGUUCUUACAGUAAGGAUCAGUUCAAAUGGGUUCUUACAGUAAGGAUCAGUUCAAAUGGGUUCUUACAGUAAGGAUCAGUCCAAAUGGGUUCUUACAGUAAGGAUGAGUCAGAAUGGGUUCUUACAGUAAGGAUCAGUCCAAAUGGGUUCUUACAUUAAGGAUCAGUCAGAAUAAGAUUUUACAGUAAGGAUCAGUCCGAAUGGGUUCUUACAGUAAGGAUCAGUCCGAAUGGGAUUUUACAGUGUGAUCCACUCAACAUGACCAGAACCACAAGGUUAAUCUGGUAGAUUAGCAGUGUGAGUUACACAGUGCUAUAACUAGAAACAAACACCACACCAGGUUAGGAUUAGGAGUGCGUGUGUGUGUGUGUGUGUGUGAGGUGGUACCGGCUGGGUCAGGGUCAACCCAGGUCUGUGCAGGGUUGUGGGUGGUGUAAUGUGUGAUGUGAGGCUGGGUCAGGGUCAUGGGUGGUGUGAUGUGUGAUGUGAGGCUGGGUCAGGGUCGUGGGUGGUGUAAUGUGUGAUGUGAGGCUGGGUCAGGGUCGUGGGUGGUGUAAUGUGUGAUGUGAGGCUGGGUCAGGGUCGUGGGUGGUGUGAUGUGUGAUGUGAGGCUGGGUCAGGGUCGUGGGUGGUGUAAUGUGUGAUGUGAGGCUGGGUCAGGGUCAGCCCAGGUCUGUGCAGGGUUGUGGGUGGUGUAAUGUGUGAUGUGAGGCUGGGUCAGGGUCGUGGGUGGUGUGAUGUGUGAUGUGAGGCUGGGUCAGGGUCGUGGGUGGUGUAAUGUGUGAUGUGAGGCUGGGUCAGGGUCGUGGGUGGUGUAAUGUGUGAUGUGAGGCUGGGUCAGGGUCGAGGGUGGUGUAAUGUGUGAUGUGAGGCUGGGUCAGGGUCGUGGGUGGUGUAAUGUGUGAUGUGAGGCUGGGUCAGGGUCGUGGGUGGUGUAAUGUGUGAUGUGAGGCUGGGUCAGCCCAGGUCUGUGCAGGGUCGUGGGUGGUGUAAUGUGUGAUGUGAGGCUGGGUCAGGGUCAGCCCAGGUCUGUGCAGGGUUGUGGGUGGUGUAAUGUGUGAUGUGAGGCUGGGUCAGGGUCGUGGGUGGUGUAAUGUGUGAUGUGAGGCUGGGUCAGGGUCGUGGGUGGUGUGAUGUGUGAUGUGAGGCUGGGUCAGGGUCGUGGGUGGUGUAAUGUGUGAUGUGAGGCUGGGUCAGGGUCGUGGGUGGUGUAAUGUGUGAUGUGAGACUGGGUCAGGGUCGUGUAAUGUGUGAUGUGAGGCUGGGUCAGGGUCGUGGGUGGUGUAAUGUGUGAUGUGAGGCUGGGUCAGGGUCGUGGGUGGUGUAACGUGUGAUGUGAGGCUGGGUCAGGGUCGUGGGUGGUGUAACGUGUGAUGUGAGGCUGGGUCAGCCGUGCAGGGUUGUGGGUGGUGUAAUGUGUGAUGUGAGGCUGGGUCAGGGUCAGCCCAGGUCUGUGCAGGGUUGUGGGUGGUGUAAUGUGUGAUGUGAGGCUGGGUCAGGGUCGUUGUGGGUGGUGUAAUGUGUGAUGUGAGGCUGGGUCAGGGUCGUGGGUGGUGUAAUGUGUGAUGUGAGGCUGGGUCAGGGUCGUGGGUGGUGUAAUGUGUGAUGUGAGGCUGGGUCAGGGUCGUGGGUGGUGUAAUGUGUGAUGUGAGGCUGGGUCAGGGUCGUGGGUGGUGUAAUGUGUGAUGUGAGGCUGGGUCAGAGUCGUGUAAUGUGUGAUGUGAGUCUGGGUCAGGGUCGUGUAAUGUGUGAUGUGAGGCUGGGUCAGGGUCGUGGGUGGUGUAAUGUGUGAUGUGAGGCUGGGUCAGGGUCGUGGGUGGUGUAAUGUGUGAUGUGAGACUGGGUCAGGGUCGUGGGUGGUGUAA